AGCGUGGUCAAGAUCACUUGAUUUCUUUGAAACUGGAAUCUGGGAACAUGCACACCAUUGGAGUUCCUACCUGGCUGGCUGCUUCUGUUCGAAAUUACGAACGUCACAAGGAUUUCGUGGACUCUCUGCCACAGAGGCUUCCCCAAGCAACAGAAGUUGCAACAGAGGCUGAAAGGGAAAUGGCCGAAAUUGCACAGUCUAACAGGUACACCAUUGUAUCAAUUCUCGAAGCAUAGAAUGUCAGUAUUGAUUCAAAUUUGUUGUCACAUCUGUCAAUGUUUUUAUGUUUUAGAAACACUGGAUACCAUUACAGAUUGUGUCAGAAAUGUCAGUGUCACACUUGAGAGGCAAUAUGUUGCAAUUCUCCAGCAACAUACAAUUGCAAUGUAUGUAAUUCAUUUCAGAUGACUGAACAAAGUUGUUUGUUUUUUUACAGGCAUAAUUGUAUGCCCUGUCUCAUUCAUUUUUUUUUCAGGGCAUAGCAGGAAAGUGGUGAUGGAACUGUUGUUGGUCAGCUUGUGCAGAUCAAUAGGUACUUCCUCAGUUUGUAACAGUGCAAUAUUGUUAGAUCAAUUAAUAUAAUUCAUCUCCCUGGUAAAAGUAUUUAGAACCUUUCCGAUGACCGAAAAGGUGUGGAGAGGAAGAACAGCAUCCCCCAUCGAUGGUGCCCCACCAGCAGUCGCUUCAACUCAUAUCAGUUCUAUGAUAUUUCUCGGUGGGCAAACACAAUAAUACAUUUUAUUCUUUGCUGUUUCUGAACUUGUUUCGGUUGGUAAUGGUCUAUUGUCGGAUGGUAAUAGAGUAAUUGUAUAGCAGCUCUUGUCAUUUUUCAAUGUUUUGCCUUUGUCUAUUUGUUGUGUGUUUCUUGUUUAUUGAACAUGUCCAUUCUGUUUUAAUGUAUGUCAUUGUAUUCCUGUCCUUUGUUUAAAAUGUAAGUAUCUGUGGCCAUUUCUGUGUAAUUGUUAGAUGUGAGCCUGGUAUACCCCAACCUGAGUCGAAUGGAAUAGACAGGUUUGCUUCUUCCAAGGUAUUGUGUUUUCAUUGACCUGUUAGUUGUGGAGUUUGUAUAUCAAUUUAGAUAAUUUUGUAAAUAUUGUCAUUUGAACAUCUAUAUCACCAUUGUCAUCUUUAAAUAAAAUAAUUACUUCUACACCUGA